UGCCUAUGCAUUGCCUGUUUAAUGGACAGU
rnacentral:piRNA from 1 species